UUUUUCAUACACUCCUAUUCUUUCAUGUGUGAUGAACUUAUGUGAGAUACAUCUCUAGAACUUGCGUAACGAUCUUUCGAAAUGUUUGUCAUUGAUUGCAUGAACUUGGAAAUGAUAGAGGCAUUAGGUUUACCACCAUGGCCCAAAUAACCAUGUUUCCCAAAUAAAAAUGAUAUCAUUAGAUUGCCAAUUUGAGCCGUGUAUGUUGAGCCUUUUAUUUCUUAUCACCAGAUAUGUCUACCCUUAUGCCUGAAACUUUUUUUCCUUACCCUUUCCAAGCAAGCUAGCGAGCAAUGCAAGAUUGUCUUAUGAGAAACGUUUGUGAAGUACUUUGAAGGUGUUUGGCAAAAGAAUAAGUGUGGGGGUAUUUCAUGUUUGUAAAAAAAAAAAAAAAAAAAAAAAAGAAAGAUUGUAUACAAAGAAAAUAAAAAGUUUUUAAAGUUUCAGUUUAAGGGUGUGGUUGGAGGUGCGAGAAGAAUCGCGGGAAAGCUUGAGUUCUUAUAAAUCUAAACAAAAGAAUUGCUUGCAAUGUAGCUUGGAACUUGUGUUUUCCUAUUCUUCCGUUUCAAUAACCCUAUCCCUAAGCCUCAUUACAUCCAAUAAAAGUCCUCUUAAUUUAAGUUUUGCAAUUAUGACUGUGGAGAAGUGAUCUUUAUGCAAGCUUAUGGUAGAAAUUUCACAUUUGAUUCUUUGAGCGAAACACAUUAAAACUAAACACAUGUGUGAUUGAGUGCAUAUCCCGUGAGAAGGUUACUAGUUUGCAUAUGAUGAUUUUAAAAAUAAAAACUUGAAAUUGCAUUAGCAUG
rnacentral:lncRNA from 1 species